rnacentral:tRNA from 1 species
AUCCCUGACUUACCGCCAAAAUUUAAAAUGCGUCGUUAUCCCGUAGAUGGAAGCGGUGGUGACUGUAAAUCACUUG